CCCCUCCCAGCCGUCGGCUUCCCCUCUCUAAAUCAUUCCUCAAUUCCCAACUCAACAACCUUACUGGAGGAGAAAAUCAGCGGCUUCCUCCUCCUCGGCGGAAAUCGCCGACUUCCCCGGCGAUUUCGUCGCCCAACUCCCGUUUCCCACCGCCGUCUCCUCCGGCGUCUCUCUCUCUUCUCUAUUUCUCAUUUCUUUUGCGAAAAUUAGAAGAUCCCCAAAUUUCAAAUUCUGAAAUUUCCAAAUUGAACGAAGGCAGUGGCGGUUUCUCCUCCGCUUCGUUCACAGCUCUCUCUCCGUUCACCUCCGCUGCUGUCCGAGCGUGAUUCGAGGCGCGCCACCACCGCCUCGCGCUAUGCUCCAGCGGCGUGGCAGCCUCCUCGCGAUUAAGCUAAGUCUCGGUUUAAAUUCUAAAUUUCAGUCUUAGACUAGAUUCUCAGUUUGAGCAUGUGGCAGAACGAACAAUCUGGACUUUUGGAUUACAGUUUUUUGGGCUUAAUUUUGAUGGUGAGGGGUAAAAUUGAUGCUUUCUAUAUUUUUUUGGUUCCUACAUGAUGUCAACGAGAAGACUUGGGUGGAGAGCAUGGUUACCUGUUGUGGUGUUAUGGAAAAAGCUCCCCCUUGCUGCCUAGUUCUCGGCUCCUCACGGAAUAGGAGUAUGCUGAUUUCUUUGAUGUGGUGGAAGGAUGUUCGAUGUGUAUGAGAGAGGGGUUUUGGAGGUGGUGCGGGGGUUCUUAUAGGAAGAAAGGGUGUACUCGUGGGGUUUUAAUUGGCUGCUGCAUUCUUGGUGCACAAAGAUGGCAGAGGAGGGUACUGCAACUCUCGGCAGUAGCAGGCGCCACCAAGGCUGUGCAGUGGCUAACAUCUGAGGUCCAUUUCAGCUGGAAAGGGGCUGAUAAUGCAUCUUUCGGUUAAAGCUGGGGUGCAGGGCUUGUUGCCACUCAUCUUUCCUAUUUUGCGACGUGGUAUCCAAGACUCGUUUAUUCUCACCUACACCUUUGUAUUUUGCAGCGACGCACCACGCUAGUUAACGGAAAUUCUGCCCUUCGCGACACGGCUCGUGGCCUUUGGCCCAACGGCCGAUCGAGACACGGCUUGGCGUGGCUUAGCCCGAUAAGAUGGGCUAUUGCUUAUCUCUUUUUUAAGACCUCAUACUUCUCUAUUUGUGACUUAAACUCUUCGUGUAUUGCAUUGUAGUUAGUUUGCGACGAACUUAUGUUCUACAUUUUCUUUCUUGUACUAAAUCAACACGUUUACUGUGGAAAAAGAAAAAUAGCGUGCGCACUUCUUUUUCCCUGUUAUUUUCUUUAUUUUCAUCGUCAAUAUUUGUAAUCCCCGAGUUAAAAUGGAAAUUUUGAAUAUCGUGUUUUGUUUA